AUGGGAUGCGACGACGACGAAACGCAUAAUAUCCAGUUUAAAAAGAAGAAGAAGAAGAUGAAACCUUUAAGGAAACGCGAAGCUUCUCGGUUUGAGCGAGGGAGAGAAAAUGUCCAAUCGGAUCCCUUUAAUAUGAAAACCAGAGGAAAAUAUGAAACUGCUGAAGAAUACAAAAUAUAAGCUGAAUGACUCGUACGACACCAGCAGUAGAACUCAAUUUAAUAUGGAGACCAAUAAACGCGACGAAGAAAUGGUCAAUUAUGUAGAAUUGUCGAAGCGCAAAAGUAAAAAUAAUAACGAUGUAAUGAAUAGUACGAAUAAUGAUAAAGGAUCGUAUUGCUUGCCAGAGGAAACAGCAUUGCACGCAGUACUAGAUGCAAGUUAAGCGAGAACAUUUGAGGAGUGAUUUUGGUCUAGCAGCAGGAAUGUCGGGCGAAUUACCUUGUUAACAGUCUUAGUAAGACUUAGUAUGACAUCUUACCUAAUAUGUAUAAUAUGCAUCUCUCAUAAGUUGCAUUUUUAUUUAUUUUUUAACGUUUUUUUCAUCAAUUAUUUUGUUUUUUUUUUCCUCAACUUUUUUUAGGUAGCUAGGAAGAAGGCCAGUGUAGCUACAAUAUCACUCAAUAGGUAGCACACAGGAUAUGACAAAGGUAAAUUGUCUUGUUUUUAGCUUUGAAUUUUUACUUUUAUAGAGCUUUUAUUUCUAUCGGAUUUUUCAAUAUGAUUAUUCUCUUACAUUCCACCCUACUAAUACAGUGAUGUGCAUAAAGAUUAUCUGUCUUUAUUUUUGUUUUCUUUAUGUUGUCUACAUUUUUUUGCAGUAUACAGAACACUGAGGCAGCAAAAUUCUGUUUCCAGAUGUAUGAUUCGCAAAAGACUAUCUUUCAGCUCCAAAUUGUUGAAAUGAGAGAUCAAAAACCUAGAUACGUACCGAGUUAGUAAUAUUAUUGUGGACUUAGAUUUCUUUUUAUAAAUAUCUUGCACUAGUA